GUCUUCUCAUUGUUCUAUCGAGACAUAUAGUAAAAUUGGAACGAUAUAGAGAAAAUUAGAAUUGACCCCUGCGCAAGGAUGAGACGCAAAAUCGUGAAGCGUUCCAUAUUCUU
rnacentral:snRNA from 1 species